UGCAGUCGAGCGAGAAGCCCCUUUCGGGGGGUGGGCAGCGGCGGACGGGUGAGUAACGCGUGGGAACCUACCUAGCAGCGGGGGACAACCAUUGGAAACGAUGGCUAAUACCGCAUACGCCCUUCGGGGGAAAGAUUUAUCACUGUUAGAUGGGCCCGCGUUAGAUUAGAUAGUUGGUGGGGUAAAGGCCUACCAAGUCUACGAUCUAUAGCUGGUUUGAGAGGAUGAUCAGCCACACUGGAACUGAGACACGGUCCAGACUCCUACGGGAGGCAGCAGUAGGGAAUAUUGCACAAUGGAGGAAACUCUGAUGCAGCCAUGCCGCGUGAGUGAAGAAGGCCCUAGGGUUGUAAAGCUCUUUCAAUGGUGAAGAUGAUGACGGUAACCAUAGAAGAAGCUCCGGCUAACUUCGUGCCAGCAGCCGCGGUAAUACGAAGGGAGCUAGNGUUGUUCGGAAUUACUGGGCGUAAAGAGCACGUAGGCGGACAUAUAANUCAGGGGUGAAAUCCCGAGGCUCAACCUCGGAACUGCCCUUGAAACUAUGUGUCUAGAGACCAUGAGGGGAUAGCGGAAUACCUAGUGUAGAGGUGAAAUUCGUANAUANNNNGUGGAACACCNGUGGCGAAGGCGGCUAUCUGGCAUGGUACUGACGCUGANGUGCGAAAGCGUGGGGAGCNAACANGAUUANAUACNCNGGUAGUCCNCGCCGUNNCGAUGNUUCNUUANUCGUCGGGNAUAA
rnacentral:rRNA from 1 species